rnacentral:rRNA from 1 species
GGUUAAGCUGACGAGUGGCGAACGGGUGAGUAAUGUAUCGGAACGUGCCCAGUCGUGGGGGAUAACUGCUCGAAAGAGCAGCUAAUACCGCAUACGACCUGAGGGUGAAAGCGGGGGAUCGCAAGACCUCGCGCGAUUGGAGCGGCCGAUAUCAGAUUAGGUAGUUGGUGAGGUAAAGGCUCACCAAGCCGACGAUCUGUAGCUGGUCUGAGAGGACGACCAGCCACACUGGGACUGAGACACGGCCCAGACUCCUACGGGAGGCAGCAGUGGGGAAUUUUGGACAAUGGGCGCAAGCCUGAUCCAGCCAUGCCGCGUGCGGGAAGAAGGCCUUCGGGUUGUAAACCGCUUUUGUCAGGGAAGAAAAGGUUCUGGCUAAUACCUGGGACUCAUGACGGUACCUGAAGAAUAAGCACCGGCUAACUACGUGCCAGCAGCCGCGGUAAUACGUAGGGUGCAAGCGUUAAUCGGAAUUACUGGGCGUAAAGCGUGCGCAGGCGGUUAUGCAAGACAGAGGUGAAAUCCCCGGGCUCAACCUGGGAACUGCCUUUGUGACUGCAUGGCUAGAGUACGGUAGAGGGGGAUGGAAUUCCGCGUGUAGCAGUGAAAUGC